rnacentral:rRNA from 1 species
UGGGGAAUAUUGGACAAUGGGGGCAACCCUGAUCCAGCAAUGCCGCGUGUGUGAAGAAGGUCUUCGGAUUGUAAAGCACUUUCGACGGGGACGAUGAUGACGGUACCCGUAGAAGAAGCCCCGGCUAACUUCGUGCCAGCAGCCGCGGUAAUACGAAGGGGGCUAGCGUUGCUCGGAAUGACUGGGCGUAAAGGGCGUGUAGGCGGUUUACACAGUCAGAUGUGAAAUCCCCGGGCUUAACCUGGGAGCUGCAUUUGAUACGUGUAGACUAGAGUGUGAGAGAGGGUUGUGGAACUCCCAGUGUAGAGGUGAAAUUCGUAGAUAUUGGGAAGAACACCGGUGGCGAAGGCGGCAACCUGGCUCAUGACUGACGCUGAGGCGCGAAAGCGUGGGGAGCAAACAGGAUUAGAUACCCUGGUAGUCCACGCUGUAAACGAUGUGUGCUAGAUGUUGGGUACUUUGUU